ensembl:lncRNA novel transcript, antisense to SHISA9
AGAAUGAACUGAAGGAACCAGGACAGUGGUGGAAGCAGUGGCUCUGGAGGGAUAAAAAUAGGGUUCAAUUCUCAGCUCUGUCACCCACUGCUGCUUGACUUGGGGGUUGGAGAUCUGGCCCAGGUUCGGGUACGAAUGUGGAUGGCCCAUCUGCUGGAGCAGAGGAGAGGUGGGCACUGCGUUGUUCAUCUGGGUGGCAUCUGGAAGUGAAGACACAGAAGGAGAUUGUCACAGACAGGGCAGAACCAUCUACCUUCCCUCCCAUCACCACAUCACUGGAGACCAAAACUCUCCCCACCCUUUAGGGACGCAAGUCGCAAAACAGCAGAGGGUUCACAGAUACAUGGGACACAAUUGAGUUCAUAGUCUUCACUGGAGAGCAAAUGAGGACAGACCCUUGGUCCACAAACGACAAAUUGAUGGUGUCCUGUGCUCUCCUUCCU